rnacentral:tRNA from 1 species
GUAUUGGUGGUUCAGUGGUAUAAUUCUUGCCUUCCAUGACGGAGUCCUGGGUUCAAUUCCCAGCCAAUGCA